AUUGAACGCUGGCGGCAGGCCUAACACAUGCAAGUCGAACGAGUGGCGGACGGGUGAGUAAUGUCUGGGAAACUGCCCGAUGGAGGGGGAUAACUACUGGAAACGGUAGCUAAUACCGCAUACCAUCGGAUGUGCCCAGAUGGGAGUAGCUAGUGGGUGGGGUAACGGCUCACCUAGGCGACGCUCCCUAGCUGGUCUGAGAGGAUGACCAGCCACACUGGAAAUGAGAAACGGUCCAGACUCCGACGGGAGGCAGCAGUGUGGAAUAUUGCACAAGGGGCGGAAGCCAAGUAGAGCCAUGCCGCGUGUAUGAAGAAGGCCUUCGGGUUGUAAAGUACUUUCAGCGAGGAGGCGUUACUCGCAGAAGAAGCACCGGCUAACUCCGUGCCAGCAGCCGCGGUAAUAC
rnacentral:rRNA from 1 species